UCAGAUAUCCUGUAGAUCAGAGAUUUACGGUGUGAUUCAUAACAGUGGCUAAAUGUCAGCUAUGAAGUAGCAAUGAAAAAUGUUAAGGUUGGGGGUCACCGCACGUGAGGAACUGUAUUAAAGAGUCGCAGCAUUAGGAAGGUUGAGAACCGCUGUUCUACAAAGAGACACAAUUUAUAGAGGCUCCUUAACCCUACCUUGUCCUAUGAGAACCCAGAAGGCAGUGAGCCAGGAUGAAGGAAAUUCUACUGGAUUCCUUGUCCAGGACAGACAUGGAGCGAAGGAGAUGAUCUUUCCGUCGAGAGACUAAAAUAAUAAUGAACAAUAAUGAUAACAGAGGCAGAGAUCUACUGAGAGCUUCCCUUCAGGGCAGGCCCAGCGCCAAACUCAUAAUCCUUACCCAAUCCUGGGCUCAAGGAGGUUACUCAGGGUCACUGGAGCUAGCAAAUGACUCUAGUUUUUUGUGACCUCUGAGUCCAGCCCACUAUCUUUGCUGCUGGCAGCCCCAGCCCCUGCCAUGCCCCCAGGAAUUUAGAAGCCCCUGGGGAAAGGAAGGAAGGCAAGCAGCACUCAUUUUACAAGAGCAGGAAUUAAAUAAAUCAGUACAUAAUUAACA
rnacentral:lncRNA from 1 species